UAUGGGGUUAUAGGGUUCCUAUGGGGUUAAUGGGGCUCUAUGGGGCUCUAUGGGGCUCUAUGGGGUUAUAGGGUCAUUAUAGGGUCGCUAUGGGGUGGUUAUGGGGUUAUGGGGUUCCUAUGGGGUUAAUGGGGCGCUAUGGGGCUCUAUGGGGUCAAUGGGGCUCUAUAGGGUCACAAUGGGGUGGUUAUGGGGUUAUGGGGUUCCUAUGGGGUCAAUGGGGCUCUAUGGGGCUCUAUGGGGCUCUAUGGGGUCGUUAUGGGGUGGUUAUGGGGUUAAUGGGGUUAUGGCCAUUGUAGGAUAGGGUCGUUAUAGGGUCGCUAUGGGGUUAUGGGGUCUUUAUGGGGUCCCAAUGGGGUUAUAGGGCCAUUAUAGGGUCACUAUGGGGUGGUUAUGGGGUUCCUAUGGGGUUAAUGGGGCGCUAUGGGGCUCUAUGGGGUCAAAGGUCCUUAUAGGGUCCCAAUGGGGUUAUAGGGUCCUUAUAGGGUUACAAUGGGUUAUAGGGUCAUUAUAGGGUCGCUAUGGGGUUAUAGGGUCACAAUGGGGUUAUAGGGUNCAAUGGGGUUAUAGGGUCCUUAUAGGGUUACAAUGGGUUAUAGGGUCAUUAUAGGGUCGCUAUGGGGUUAUAGGGUCACAAUGGGGUUAUAGGGUAAUUAUAGGGUCACUAUGGGGUUAUAGGGUCACAAUGGGGUUUUAGGGUAAUUAUAGGGUCCCAGUGGGGUUAUAGGGUCAUUAUAGGGUCGCUAUGGGGUUAUAGGGUCAUAAUGGGGUUAUAGGGUAAUUAUAGGGUCCCAAUGGGGUUAUAGGGUCAUUAUAGGGUCCCAGUGGGGUUAUAGGGUCACAAUGGGGUUAUAGGGUCCUUAUAGGGUCCCAGUGGGGUUAUAGAGUCAUUAUAGGGUCCCAAUGGGGUUAUAGGGUCCUUAUAGGGUUACAAUGGUGUUAUAGGGUCACAAUGGGGUUAUAGGGUAAUUAUAGGGUCCCAAUGGGGUUAUAGGGUCAUUAUAGGGUCCCAAUGGGGUUAUAGGGUCACAAUGGGGUUAUAGGGUAAUUAUAGGGUCCCAAUGGGGUUAUAGGGUCAUUAUAGGGUCNGGGUCAUUAUAGGGUCCCAAUGGGGUUAUAGGGUCACAAUGGGGUUAUAGGGUAAUUAUAGGGUCCCAAUGGGGUUAUAGGGUCAUUAUAGGGUCACAAUGGGGUUGUAGGGUAAUUAUAGGGUCCCAGUGAGGUUAUAGGGUCAUUAUAGGGUCGUUAUGGGGUUAUAGGGUCACAAUGGGGUUAUAGGGUAAUUAUAGGGUCCCAAUGG
rnacentral:lncRNA from 1 species